AUGACAGUCACCGUGGAUAAUGCAAGCAAUAAUGAUGGCUGCAUUGUUCCCUUGAGAAAGUGCAUGGUUGAGGCCAAAACUAGCAUAGCUGCUGGAAAGUUUUUGCAUAUGAGAUGUGCGGCACAUAUUGUCAACCUUAUUGUACAAGAUGGCCUAAAAGAAGUUGAACUUUCAAUCAAACGUGUCCGAGCUGCUGUGCGAUACAUCAAGAAUGGGACUUCUCGGUUGGUAAAAUUCAAAGAGCUAGCAUUGGAAGAAAAAGUUAAGAGCAAAGCAUUCUUGAACCUAGAUGUAUGCACUCGGUGGAACUCAACUUACAUAAUGUUGAAGGCUGCCAUCACCUACGCGAAGGUGUUUACAAGGUACUGCGAGGAUGACCCAUUGUAUGCGUUGGACUUGUCUGAAGAAAAAGGAGGAUUUGGGUAUCCAGAUGAAAUGGAUUGGGAAAAUGCUAGGAAAAUGGCUGCCUUUCUUGCUCAUUUUUAUGAUCUUACUGUUCGUGUGUCAUCCUCACUUCAUGUCACUUCUAACAACUUUCUUUUCGAGGUUGGCAAUAUACACAUAUUGGUUCAAAAUUGGAUGAGCAGUACAGAUCCUUUGCAAAAAGCUAUGGCAGAGAGGAUGAAAGAAAAGUUUGACAAAUACUGGGGGUCUUGGCAUGAGAAUGAAAAGGUGAAGGAUAAGGGUCCUAUUGUAAAUGAAAGAGGGAAAGGGAAGAAGAAGGAGAAGGAGGAGAAGGAGAAGGAAAAUCUCAACUUGCUCAUUUUUAUUGCUGCAGCUCUUGAUCCAAGGUAUAAGCUUUCUGAUUUCACUAGGCUCACUACUUUGGAAAUAUUUGGUGUUGAGUCUGGAGAGAAGGUGUGGUAUGCUGUCAACAAAUGUGUUCGCGAGUUGUUUGAAGAAUACCGAGUAAGAUUGACUACACCAGAACCAACAACACCAGCCAUUAGCCAAGUAACAAUAGAAGGAGGAGGAGCAAGUAUGAUGAAGGAACUAAUUGCAAGUAGGUUGAGGCAAAAUAAUAGUGGAGGAAGUGCAAGUAGUAAAUCUGAGCUUGAAAAAUACCUUGCUGAAGACUCUGAAGACCCUGACAAAAAAAUUGACAUCCUAGGAUGGUGGAAAGAGAAUUCAUCUAGGUUUCCAAUCUUGGCAAAUAUGGCUCGUGAUAUUCUUGCUAUCCCCAUUACAACUGUGGCUUCUGAGUCUGCCUUUAGCACAAGUGGACGCAUACUUGAUGACUUUAGGACAUCUCUAACUCCGUUUAUGGUGCAAGCUUUAGUUUGUACGCAAGACUGGCUGAGAAGGUCAACAGAUCCGGUCGACAUCAAGGAGAACUUGGAAGAAUUAGAAGUGCUAGAAAAAGAGUUGAUUGAAGAAUUUGGUGACAAGGUGAAGGGAAAGCGCAAGUUCAAUGGUGGUGUUGUUGCUUCUUCCAUGGCCAAGUCAAACAAGUGUGCAAGUCGACCAACAAAGUGA
rnacentral:rRNA from 1 species